rnacentral:rRNA from 1 species
GACGAACGCUGGCGGCGUGCUUAACACAUGCAAGUCGAACGGAAAGGCCCUGCUUUUGUGGGGUGCUCGAGUGGCGAACGGGUGAGUAACACGUGAGUAACCUGCCCUUGACUUUGGGAUAACUUCAGGAAACUGGGGCUAAUACCGGAUAGGAGCUCCUGCUGCAUGGUGGGGGUUGGAAAGUUUCGGCGGUUGGGGAUGGAUUCGCGGCUUAUCAGCUUGUUGGUGGGGUAGUGGCUUACCAAGGCUUUGACGGGUAGCCGGCCUGAGAGGGUGACCGGCGACAAUGGGACUGAGAUACGGCCCAGACUCCUACGGGAGGCAGCAGUGGGGAAUAUUGCACAAUGGGCGGAAGCCUGAUGCAGCAACGCCGCGUGCGGGAUGACGGCCUUCGGGUUGUAAACCGCUUUCGCCUGUGACGAAGCGUGAGUGACGGUAAUGGGUAAAGAAGCACCGGCUAACUACGUG